CGAAAGCCUGACGGAGCAACGCCGCGUGAGGGAGGAAGGCUCUUGGGUUGUAAACCUCUUUUCUCAAGGAAGAUAAUGACGGUACUUGAGGAAUCAGCAUCGGCUAACUCCGUGCCAGCAGCCGCGGUAAUACGGAGGAUGCAAGCGUUAUCCGGAAUAAUUGGGCGUAAAGCGUUCGUAGGUGGUGAUGUAAGUCUGCUGUUAAAGCGUGUAGCUUAACUACAUAUAGGCGGUGGAAACUACAUGACUAGAGUGCGUUCGGGGCAGAGGGAAUUCCUGGUGUAGCAGUGAAAUGCGUAGAUAUCAGGAAGAACACCGGUGGCGAAGGCGCUCUGCUAGGCCGUAACUGACACUGAGGGACGAAAGCUAGGGGAGCG
rnacentral:rRNA from 1 species